rnacentral:rRNA from 1 species
GAGAGGUAACGGCUCACCAAGGCAUCGACGGGUAGCUGGUCUGAGAGGAUGAUCAGCCACACUGGGACUGAGACACGGCCCAGACUCCUACGGGAGGCAGCAGUGGGGAAUCUUGCACAAUGGGCGAAAGCCUGAUGCAGCAACGCCGCGUGCGGGAAGAAGGCCCUAGGGUUGUAAACCGCUUUCAGUAGGGAAGAAAAUGACGGUACCUACAGAAGAAGGUGCGGCCAACUACGUGCCAGCAGCCGCGGUAACACGUAGGCACCAAGCGUUAUCCGGAUUUAUUGGGCGUAAAGAGCUCGUAGGCGGUUCAGUCAGUCGGGUGUGAAAACUUGAGGCUUAACCUCAAGAGGUCACUCGAUACUACUGUGACUAGAGUGCGGUAGGGGAGCGGGGAAUUCCUGGUGUAGCGGUGAAAUGCGCAGAUAUCAGGAGGAACACCAGUGGCGAAGGCGCCGCUCUGGGCCGUAACUGACGCUGAGGAGCGAAAGCGUGGGUAGCAAACAGGAUUAGAUACCCUGGUAGUCCACGCCGUAAACGGUGGGCACUAGGUGUGGGGACUUUCAACGGUCUCUGCGCCGAAGCUAACGCAUUAAGUG